rnacentral:rRNA from 1 species
GAUUAAGUUAUUAAGGGCGCACGGUGGAUGCCUUGGCACUAGAAGCCGAAGAAGGACGUUACUAACGACGAUAUGCUUUGGGUAGCUGUAAGUAAGCGUUGAUCCAGAGAUUUCCGAAUGGGGGAACCCAACAUGAGUUAUGUCAUGUUAUCGACAUGUGAAUUCAUAGCAUGUCAGAAGGCAGACCCGGAGAACUGAAACAUCUUAGUACCCGGAGGAAGAGAAAGAAAAAUCGAUUCCCUGAGUAGCGGCGAGCGAAACGGGAAGAGCCCAAACCAACAAGCUUGCUUGUUGGGGUUGUAGGACACUCUAUACGGAGUUACAAAAGAACAUGUUAGACGAAUCAUCUGGAAAGAUGAAUCAAAGAAGGUAAUAAUCCUGUAGUCGAAAACAUAUUCUCUCUUGAGUGGAUCCUGAGUACGACGGAGCACGUGAAAUUCCGUCGGAAUCUAGGAGGACCAUCUCCUAAGGCUAAAUACUCUCUAGUGACCGAUAGUGAACCAGUACCGUGAGGGAAAGGUGAAAAGUACCCCGGAAGGGGAGUGAAAGAGAACUUGAAACCGUGUGCUUACAAGUAGUCAGAGCCCGUUUAUGGGUGAUGGCGUGCCUUUUGUAGAAUGAACCGGCGAGUUACGAUCUGAUGCAAGGUUAAGCAGCGAAUGUGGAGCCGUAGCGAAAGCGAGUCUGAAUAGGGCGUUGAGUAUUUGGUCGUAGACCCGAAACCAGGUGAUCUACCCUUGGUCAGGUUGAAGUUCAGGUAACACUGAAUGGAGGACCGAACCGACUUACGUUGAAAAGUGAGCGGAUGAACUGAGGGUAGCGGAGAAAUUCCAAUCGAACUUGGAGAUAGCUGGUUCUCUCCGAAAUAGCUUUAGGGCUAGCCUCAAGUGAUGAUUAUUGGAGGUAGAGCACUGUUUGGACGAGGGGCCCCUCUCGGGUUACCGAAUUCAGACAAACUCCGAAUGCCAAUCAAUUUAACUUGGGAGUCAGAACAUGGGUGAUAAGGUCCGUGUUCGAAAGGGAAACAGCCCAGACCACCAGCUAAGGUCCCAAAAUAUAUGUUAAGUGGAAAAGGAUGUGGCGUUGCCCAGACAACUAGGAUGUUGGCUUAGAAGCAGCCAUCAUUUAAAGAGUGCGUAAUAGCUCACUAGUCGAGUGACACUGCGCCGAAAAUGUACCGGGGCUAAACAUAUUACCGAAGCUGUGGAUUGUCCUUCGGACAAUGGUAGGAGAGCGUUCUAAGGGCGUUGAAGCAUGAUCGCAAGGACAUGUGGAGCGCUUAGAAGUGAGAAUGCCGGUGUGAGUAGCGAAAGACGGGUGAGAAUCCCGUCCACCGAUUGACUAAGGUUUCCAGAGGAAGGCUCGUCCGCUCUGGGUUAGUCGGGUCCUAAGCUGAGGCCGACAGGCGUAGGCGAUGGAUAACAGGUUGAUAUUCCUGUACCACCUAGUAUCGUUUUAAUCGAUGGGGGGACGCAGUAGGAUAGGCGAAGCGUGCUGUUGGAGUGCACGUCCAAGCAGUAAGGCUGAGUGUUAGGCAAAUCCGGCACUCGUUAGGCUGAGCUGUGAUGGGGAGAGGAAAUUGUUUCCUCGAGUCGUUGAUUUCACACUGCCGAGAAAAGCCUCUAGAUAGAUAACAGGUGCCCGUACCGCAAACCGACACAGGUAGUCAAGAUGAGAAUUCUAAGGUGAGCGAGCGAACUCUCGUUAAGGAACUCGGCAAAAUGACCCCGUAACUUCGGGAGAAGGGGUGCUCUUUAGGGUUCACGCCCAGAAGAGCCGCAGUGAAUAGGCCCAAGCGACUGUUUAUCAAAAACACAGGUCUCUGCUAAACCGUAAGGUGAUGUAUAGGGGCUGACGCCUGCCCGGUGCUGGAAGGUUAAGAGGAGUGGUUAGCUUCUGCGAAGCCACGAAUCGAAGCCCCAGUAAACGGCGGCCGUAACUAUAACGGUCCUAAGGUAGCGAAAUUCCUUGUCGGGUAAGUUCCGACCCGCACGAAAGGCGUAACGAUUUGGGCACUGUCUCAACGAGAG